UACAGAGGGGGCAAGCGUUGUUCGGAAUUACUGGGCGUAAAGGGCGCGUAGGCGGCCUUCUAAGUCGAACGUGAAAUCCCCGGGCUCAACCCGGGAACUGCGUCCGAUACUGGAAGGCUUGAAUCCGGGAGAGGGAUGCGGAAUUCCAGGUGUAGCGGUGAAAUGCGUAGAUAUCUGGAGGAAUACCGGUGGCGAAGGCGGCAUCCUGGACCGGCAUUGACGCUGAGUGGGCGAAAGCCAGGGGAGCAAACGGG
rnacentral:rRNA from 1 species